rnacentral:rRNA from 1 species
CCUUUUUUAAAAAAGGUAAUAUUUUUGGAAAAACCUAUGCUCUUUGACGGCCACUUUCCUAAUUAAAGGAACUUGUUAUCCAUCGAAAAUACCCGUUUAUUUUCACUUUUUUGAUGUUUUUAUACCGCCGUCUUAAGAAUUUAUUCUAAUAUUCUUUCUAAAUAAUGUCUAUUAAAAAGUCAGGUCAAGGUGAAGCUUAAUUAAGGUUAUAAUAAGUUAUAUAUUAAACAUAUUAAUAGAAAUUUUAUUAAAAUCUAUCUGAAUUAAGAUUUAACAGUAUUAAUUUAAUAAUAAUUUAUUAAGAAUUAGUAAAAUGUGGUGA